GGGGGAGUAGCUAAAUUGGUUACAAUACUCUGGCUGUUAUUCUCUGGAAGCAGUAGUGUUAGCAAAGAGUUACUUCAAGCAUUCAUCUGGUAAAUGAAAGUAUAUUGGUUCGAGUCCAGUCUCCCCCG
rnacentral:tRNA from 1 species